rnacentral:rRNA from 1 species
GUGGGGAAUAUUGGGCAAUGGGCGCAAGCCUGACCCAGCAACGCCGCGUGAAGGAAGAAGGCUUUCGGGUUGUAAACUUCUUUGACAGGGGACGAAACAAAUGACGGUACCCUGAAAACAAGCCACGGCUAACUACGUGCCAGCAGUCGCGGUAAUACGUAGGUGGCAAGCGUUAUCCGGAUUUACUGGGUGUAAAGGGCGUGUAGGCGGGAUUACAAGUCAGAUGUGAAAACUAUGGGCUCAACCCAUAGCCUGCAUUUGAAACUGUAGUUCUUGAGUGAUGGAGAGGCAGACGGAAUUCCUCGUGUAGCGGUGAAAUGCGUAGAUAUGAGGAGGAACACCAGUGGCGAAGGCGGUCUGCUGGACAUUAACUGACGCUGAGGCGCGAAAGCGUGGGGAGCAAACAGGAUUAGAUACCCCAGUAGUCC